rnacentral:rRNA from 1 species
CCUACGGGUGGCAGCAGUAGGGAAUAUUGCUCAAUGGGGGAAACCCUGAAGCAGCAACGCCGCGUGGAGGAUGAAGGUUUUCGGAUUGUACACUCCUUUUGUUAGAGAAGAUAAUGACGGUAUCUAACGAAUAAGCACCGGCUAACUCCGUGCCAGCAGCCGCGGUAAUACGGAGGGUGCAAGCGUUACUCGGAAUCACUGGGCGUAAAGAGGGCGUAGGCGGGAUAGCAAGUCAGAUGUGAAAUCCUAUGGCUUAACCAUAGAACUGCAUUUGAAACUGUUAUUCUAGAGUAUGGGAGAGGUAGGUGGAAUUCUUGGUGUAGGGGUAAAAUCCGUAGAGAUCAAGAGGAAUACUCAUUGCGAAGGCGACCUGCUAGAACAUAACUGACGCUGAUGCGCGAAAGCGUGGGGAGCAAACAGGAUUAGAUACCCCAGUAGUC